rnacentral:rRNA from 1 species
CCUACGGGUGGCAGCAGUGGGGAAUCUUGCACAAUGGAGGAAACUCUGAUGCAGCGAUGCCGCGUGAGUGAAGAAGGCCUUUGGGUUGUAAAGCUCUUUUGUAGGGGAAGCUGUACCCUAAGAAUAAGGUCCGGCUAACUUCGUGCCAGCAGCCGCGGUAAUACGAAGGGACCUAGCGUAGUUCGGAAUUACUGGGCGUAAAGCGCGCGUAGGCCGUUGAGUUAGUUAAUUGUGAAAUCCCAAAGCUUAACUUUGGAACUGCAAUUAAAACUGCUCGACUAGAGUUUGAUAGAGGAAAGCGGAAUACAUAGUGUAGAGGUGAAAUUCGUAGAUAUUAUGUAGAACACCAGUUGCGAAGGCGGCUUUCUGGAUCAAACUGACGCUGAGGCGCGAAAGUAUGGGUAGCAAAGAGGAUUAGAUACCCUUGUAGUC